rnacentral:rRNA from 1 species
AGAUUGAACGCUGGCGGCAUGCCUAACACAUGCAAGUCGAACGGGAGUAGCAAUACUCUAGUGGCGGACGGGUGAGGAAUACGUAGGAAUUUGCCCUUAAGUGGGGGAUAACCCGGGGAAACCCGGAUUAAUACCGCAUGACCUCGAAAGAGCAAAGUGGGGGAUCGCAAGACCUCACGCUUUUGGAGAAGCCUACGUCGGAUUAGCUAGUUGGUGAGGUAAUGGCUCACCAAGGCGACGAUCCGUAACUGGUCUGAGAGGAUGAUCAGUCACACCGGAACUGAGACACGGCCCGGACUCCUACGGGAGGCAGCAGUGGGGAAUAUUGGACAAUGGGCGCAAGCCUGAUCCAGCAAUGCCGCGUGUGUGAAGAAGUCCGUUCGGUUAGUAAG